GCUGUGGAUAGCUCCGUUGGUAGAACAUGAGACUCUUAAUCUCAGGGUUGUGAGUUCAAGCCCCAUGUUGGGCA